rnacentral:rRNA from 1 species
GACGAACGCUGGCGGCGUGCCUAACACAUGCAAGUCGAGCGAGAUACGUCAGGUCUUCGGACCAGGCAUUAUCGAGCGGCGAACGGGUGAGUAACACGUGAAGAACCUGCCCCAGAGACCGGGAUAACCCGGGGAAACUCGAGCUAAUACCGGAUAUUUUCUUCGGACCGCAUGGUCUGAUGAGGAAAUGGUCCGCUGCUCUGGGAGGGCUUCGCGGCCUAUCAGCUAGUUGGCGGGGUAACGGCCCACCAAGGCAACGACGGGUAGCUGGUCUGAGAGGACGAUCAGCCACACUGGGACUGAGACACGGCCCAGACUUCUACGGAAGGCAGCAGUGGGGAAUCUUGCGCAAUGGGCGAAAGCCUGACGCAGCAACGCCGCGUGGGGGAUGAAGGCUCUCGGGUUGUAAACCCCUUUCAGCAGGGACGAAAAUGACGGUACCUGCAGAAGAAGCUCCGGCCAACUACGUGCCAGCCGCCGCCGUAACAC